GUGGUGGCGGUGGUGUUGAUGA
rnacentral:miRNA from 1 species